rnacentral:tRNA from 1 species
GGCGAGGUAGCUCAGCUGGUUAGAGCACGGGAAUCAUAANNCAUAAUCCUGGGGUCGGGGGUUCAAGUCCCUCUCUCGCUA